AACUUUCAGCAACGGAUCUCUUGGCUCUCGCAUCGAUGAAGAACGCAGCGAAAUGCGAUAAGUAAUGUGAAUUGCAGAAUUCAGUGAAUCAUCGAAUCUUUGAACGCACCUUGCGCCCUUUGGAUCUUCCAGAGGGCAUGCCUGUUUGAGUAUCA
rnacentral:rRNA from 1 species